rnacentral:misc_RNA from 1 species
UACAAACUUGAGGUAUUGAUCUAGCACAAACUUUUGAGAAAGAAAACUUACAACUACACUACAAUGGCACAAUUCAGAACCGCUGAAGAAAGUUACUUCAAUAUGUUAGCUCAUAAUUACUCUGAAUCACUGCUCCAGGAGCAUUUUGAGAGCCAAGAACAGCAAAUUAAAGAAAAUUUCAAAUUUUUCUCUUUUGCUGUAGACAAUUGGCAGAAGAAAUAUCUGACUGAACUUGGGAUAACUCUAUCUCCAGUUCAGAUGCAAACUCACUCACAUCCAGUUAGUAAAAUGAUAGAGAAUUGGUUGCUUUUUAAAGUUCUGCCUAAUGAAAUUAAUGUAAAUGAUCCUUUCAUAAUUUUAAGCUGCAAAAUGGAGAAGGCUAAAUACUUGUUUCAGAAAAUUAAAAAAAAAGAUAGGGUUACAGACAUCAUAAAUAAAGUCUUUGAGGUCAAAGACUUUAAUAGAUAUAAAGGUCAGUCUGUAUUAAAUUUUGGUGCAGGAAGUCAAUUUAAUUUCUACGAAAAAAUCAAAAACAGAUUGGGUCACUUAGCUCUGCAGUCCACCUUUUUCCUCCAUGACGAGGUUCAUCACUGGCAAUUGGAGGAUUUUGCUAGCUUCCUAUCAGCAACACAACCCAAGAAUGUUAUUUUCACCGCAAUCUACCCACCUGAGUUGCUUGAGGGCAUCAAUUUUUCAAUGAAUACGAUAGCUUAUUCAUUUGAAAUUCGAAGCGGAAAAAUGUUUUUUUACCCUGAU